rnacentral:rRNA from 1 species
CGGAGGAUCCAAGCGUUAUCCGGAAUUACUGGGCGUAAAGAGUUGCGUAGGUGGCAUUGUAAGUAGAUAGUGAAAGCGUUCGGCUCAACCGAAUAAACAUUAUCUAAACUGCAAAGCUAGAGGGCGAGAGAGGUUACUAGAAUUCCUUGUGUAGGAGUGAAAUCCGUAGAUAUAAGGAGGAAUACCGAUGGCGUAGGCAGGUAACUGGCUCAUCCCUGACACUAAGGCACGAAAGCGUAGGUAGCAAACGGGAUUAGAUACCCCGGUAGUCUACGCCGUAAACGAUGGAUGCUAGCUGUGAGAAGUAUCGACCCUUCUCGUAGCGAAGCUAACGCGUUAAGCAUCCCGCCUGUGGAGUACGGUCGCAAGACUA